rnacentral:lncRNA from 1 species
CAGGAAAUUUUGCUCACUCCUGAGCUAGAGAAAGGUCAGAAAGAGCAGCAGCAGAGUCAAGAGAAAGAAGACAUGGCCAGAAGUCACAGGACAUAAGGACAGCCUCUGUUUCACCCUCCCCAAGGCUGAGAUAGGGAAGAAAGUAGAGCUGGAAGGAGCCUGGUGGGCUGAGAAAAUGAGCAGCAACCUGCAAACUGGAGUCUGGAUGAAGUUGAAGAUUAGGUAAAGUGUGAGUAUGAGAUUGGGAGUUUAGGAGACAGCGCAA